GCCCGCCCCUUCUUCCGCCUGCCCCUUCCACCGCCUCUUCCGCCGCGGCCAUGGCGGAACCGGCAGGGCCCUUCCAUCUGCUCCGAGCCAGGACGGGCCGGUUCCUCUGCUACUGCGGACGCGACGGUGCCGUCUAUGUGACCGACGCGGUGGAGGUGUGGGCCGGGGAGCUCGGAGCCUGCCUGGCGCUCGGUUGUCGGUGCUCGCCGGAGGAGCACGGCGCGAUGCUCAGGGCCGCCCUGGGCCACGGGGGCGCCGCGCUGAGCCUGGGCCCAGGUUCGGCCACGCUACGGCUGCCGGAGGAGCCGCGGUGCCCAGCCUUAGCCCUCGCCCAGCUGCCCGCUGCUGAGGCGCGUAGCCAGCUGCAGGCACUGAUUUUCGGCAUGGCCGGCCGCAUCGAGAGCCUGGAGAGGCGCCUGGAAGUAGCAGUGGAGACAUUAGCAUCUUCCUGCAGCCCUGAGAAGAAUGCUGUCCAGAGCCAGCAGCUCUUCCUGCCAGGCUGGGCUCCUGGAGGCUCUCCCUGGCCCUGGAGGGACUGGCAGGGCUUCCAGAACUCCUGGGUAACCUGUAGUCUGUGUCCUGCUCGUUCCUGACUGAGGCAGACCCCAGCCCCAGGAAGAGUAGGGCUUCCAGCUCAGCUUUGCCAGCCAAAAGGAAGGUGCCCGGGGAAUCUCUCAUUAACCCUGGUUUCAAAAGCAAGAAGGUGUCAUCUGGAGUGAAUUUUGAGGACUCCUGAUAGGUGCUGUCCUGUGCCCUGAUGACAGCCCUAUGGACACCUACAUCUGAACAAGGAUGUGUCCCUGUUGUUCCAGACUAGCUGAGCUCCUCGACCCAGGAAGACAACAGAGCCAGCUGUACCUGGCAGCCACCCCUCAGCUAGGGUGGUGGCAGGGCCUUUGGAGGGGGACAGAUGGAGCAGAGGGGACACCAGCCUGGUGGGUUUUUCCCCUGCAGCUCUUCCCUGCUGGCAGGGGCCAACUCCUGACCUCACUUACCAUGAACUGGUAGAGUUUGGGUGGAGCUUUGAUACUGGAAUGGAAAGAUCACCUGUGCUUUGCUUCUUACCAAUAAAGGUAUUUUUAGCCAGCUGGUCUCUAGGUGUGUCU